rnacentral:tRNA from 1 species
GGGCCCAUAGCUCAGCUGGUUAGAGCGUCCGACUCAUAAUCGGCAGGUCGAWGGUUCGAGUCCWUCUGGGCCCACCA